rnacentral:misc_RNA from 1 species
CGUUGAGCACCUGCCGCACGAAAAUGCGCUCGCCUGAAUGAUCCCACAGUAGGCUUAGCCUGUCUGCUUAGUCACCGUGAAUAUGGAAAGCUAGUGUUUUUGUUUUAUGGUUUUCCAGCCCGUAGGUAUAUAAAUCUCCUCUGAUCGGUCUAAGUGCGCAGUACGAUAAAGUGAGAUUAAUUGGAGUGCUGAAAAAAUGUUGCUCAAUCAAGUUUAUAAAGGUUGUUUAGUUUUCUCUAGAUGUCAAACAAGAAAAUCAUUUGCUGAAGCUAGUUGGUUAAGAACUCUUUCGACUGGCACUGAAAGAUCAAACAGACAUGAAUUCAAUGAAAAGGCUCAGUUCGGCAGCUCAAGACUUUUUAUGUUGGCAGGGCUUGGUGCUGCCGCUGCUGCUGGAUUUUAUUACUAUACAAAAUACAACCUUCCUAAAGUUCUGGCUCUAGAAAAUAAAGUGAAAGAAGGAACUGCAUCAGAAAGGGAACCAGGAAGUUAUGUGGAUGGUUUGCCAGUUUAUAGUUCUGUCGAUGUAGCCAAACAUAGAGAUGAAUCAACAGGUGUGUGGGUUAGUUACAAAAGUGGUGUCUAUGACAUCACUCAUUUCAUCAAAAGUCAUCCAGGAGGAAAUAAAAUUCUACUUGGAGCUGGGGUUUCUGUUGAACCAUUUUGGAAUCUCUAUGCUAUUCACAAACAACCAAAAACCUUGGCAUUAUUGGAAGAGUACAGGAUUGGAAACCUGACCAAGGGUGAGGAGGACGAUUCUAUGAUGAACAUGGGUGAUCCAUAUGCGAAUGAUCCUCAACGUCAUCCCGUCCUGACAAUCAGAACUAAGAAACCGUUUAAUGCUGAAACUCCAACCUCUCUGCUAGUGGACAACUUCAUCACCCCCACCGAAUUCUUUUACGUUAGACAUCACUUCCCAGUUCCAGACGUUGAUCUUUCAAGUGGCGACUAUUCUCUAGAAAUAAUCAGCGACAAUGAAAAAAAAGGUCUCAGUCUGAAUUUGGACCAACUAAAGACUACAUACGCGUCACAUAGUGUUACGGCCUCUCUGCAAUGUUCGGGGAAUAGACGAUCAGAAAUGAAUCGUACCAAACCCACAAAAGGUUUGGAAUGGGCCCAAGGAGCGAUGGGCAAUGCGGUGUGGAAGGGGGUUCGUUUGAGAGACGUGCUGCUUGACCUUGGCAUUAAGGAAAGCGAUGAAAACGAGCAUUGGCACGUCGAAUUUGAGGGAUUGGAUAUAGAUCCAACCAGCGCACCGUACGCUGUUUCUAUUCCGUUAAGUAAAGCUAUGGAUCCUCGAGGUGACGUCAUCUUGGCUUACGAAAUGAACGGCGAAACACUUACUCGGGAUCACGGUUUUCCGUUGCGAGUCGUCGUGCCUGGAACUACUGGCGCCCGUUGGGUCAAGUGGCUGACCCGAAUCGAAGUUGCAAGAAAUGAGAGCCAGUCUCAUUGGCAGCAAAAUGACUACAAGAGUUUCAAUCCGUCGUCGGACUGGGACAAGGUGGAUUUCUCCACAGCCCCAGCAAUUCAAGAAAUGCCCGUCACCAGCGUUGUCUGUGAUCCUCAAGAUGGAGAAACAGUAGAACUAAAGGACGGAAAACUUAAACUAAAAGGUUACGCUUGGAGCGGUGGUGGACGGGGAGUUGUGCGAGUCGACAUUAGUCUCGACUCGGGCAAAACGUGGCAUGUUGCAGAACUUCUUGAUCCAGUUAAACUAAGUCGACAAUGGGCAUGGACUCGGUGGCAAGCCAAUUUGCCUGUUACGGCGAAAGAAACAGAAGUCUGGGUCAGAGCUGUUGACUCCUCUUACAACACACAGCCAGAAGGAAUGGAACACAUUUGGAACAUGCGGGGUGUGUUGGCCGUUGGUUACCACAAAAUCAAAGUUUCGCUCAAAGCAGAUUGAUCAUGACAAAUCGCCGAGAUCAGGAUAGUUGGUGAAUCAAACGUUAAGUCCAGUCGACAAUCUACGGAAACUUUUGCGACCACAUUUUUUUAGUACUCGGCUAAUUUAUUUAUUUAUAUUUUAGUUUUUGAAAAAUUAAAAGAGGUUCCCCAGGGCGUCUAGGAGGGCAUGCGAUGUACGCAUGCAUCUAGAAUCACCGGGCACAAAUAUACGUACCUCAACACAUCCUUAAUAAUUAAUGAAGUAAACGAAUGCAGAGUCGCGACUUUCCUGCUGUCCUCUGUUCCACACGUUCCACUGCCACCAAUUAGAUAUAUGGUGUCAUUAAACGAGUUGUUUUGAAAACCCAAGAGUAAUGCUGUUUAAACACACACACACUAGUCUCUACAUCUGAUGGCUGGAGCUACCCUACCCCUUUCUGACGGCUGGGUGUACGGACCCUAUCCUUCCCGGACCCUACCCUUUCCAGAACCGUCAGGCCGCUAGGGGCGCUGUGACGGCCGGGUGUUCAUCCGUUCCGUCCGUCGUCCGUGGAUGCUAAAGGCUGUUACUAGGUCUGCAUUUCUAAAAAGCCGACUGUCCUUCAAACGUUCGAAAUGGCAGAUUUAUUCAUCCACCGAAGAAAUGACUCAAAUGUCAAUUGACCCAUCCCCAUCCCCAGCAACCUGAAGAAAGAAAAAGGCCAAUUUCCAUGGCCUUCAGAGUUCAGACUCGAAGGUCGCAGAGAUAAUUACGUAAAACAUGUUAUGCAGUGGUGUAGAGGUUGGGUGAGAACGGGAAGUUUUGCAUCAUUAUCAAAAAGGUCCAACAGCCGCAAGGCUUGAGAGGAGGGGUGAGAAAAAGUCGUAUAAUAUGAUGCGAGAGAAAAGUUGACAGGGAUCAGUCGAGCGAGUAUCUCCGACCCGGCAGCAGCUGCAUUCUUCGUCGUAAUAUCAGGUCACAAUCACGGUUAACUAUGCCGUCGUGCUGCUAUGGGUUGUUGUAUCGUCGAUGGCUGGGUCGACCACUGAUGUACCGACGUCUCCUGAGUAAGGCGGAUACCAAACCGCAACGCCACCGCCUUACUACACAACACAACGACCAGAUACUACACCGAGGUAGCACUGUUGGGUUUACAGUUAAACCACCAAGGAUCCAGAUUAUUACACCACAACUUAAGCUGCUCCUCGAGCUACACUACCAAAGCGCUAGAAUACUACGCCGAGGCACCUACUGAGACUACGCAACUACGUAUGUUGUCCCAACCUACGACACCGAGGCUCCAGCUUAUUACAUCACCAAAGCUGUCGUAAACUACACUGGAGCGCCCAAGUACGACAGAAAUCAGUCAAGUUAGCUUCUCGGACACCCAACCCCGUAGCUCCGAAGUUUUGAAUAAACUUCGUUUGAAACGGUGGUACGACAAAGAGUGAAGACGAAUUCUACUGCAAUCGCGUCGAAUUGUGAAAAGCAAAGAUAACACAUUCGUACGUGUACACCGCGCCGUUAAACUUGACAUUGUCGGUCGGCAAGCCGCACUUGUCGAUGGCCGUACAUCACCUACGACCAGUGCGUUAUUGCCACAGGUGGCAAACGAAAAUCUUUUCCAAUCCCUGAGCGGUGCCCUUAAAGAUGCCUACGAGCACGUCACGCUGUCCCGCAACAUCGAUGGCGCUAACACAUGCCGAGUCCUCUAAAUAUUUGAGCCAAUGGACAACCGAGAAGGAGAAAGCGGAAAGUGUUAAUGUGUUGCCCAAAGCUAAUGUUGAGGGUGCAAUUUUGGAAGAUUACAAGGUCGCAUUGACCUUAAACGAUGGUCAAAAGGAUUUAAACUGACCAUGUCGUCGCUGCUGUCGGUUGGGACGCAAACAUGGAUUUGGCUGUCGCUUUUGGCUUGGAAAUAGAUUCCAAUUAUGGUGGUUAUCGAGUCAAUACCGAACUUGAAGCACGAUCGAACGUCUAGUUGGCUGGAGAUGUUGAGUUCUUUUGUGAUAUCAAAUUGGGUCGUUGUCGUAUGGAACCUUACCACCAUGCUGUUGUAUCAGAGCGAUUGGCUGGAGAGAACAAUACUGGCAACGAAUCGUGGAUGAACAACUGCAGUGCACUGUCACCAAGUGCAUUCUUCGUCGUAUUAUUAGUACGCAAUCGGUUAACUAUAGCGUCGUGCUGCUGUUGAUUGUUGUACCGUUGAUGACUGGGUUGACCUGGUGUACUCAUGUCUCCUGGGUAUGGUGGAUACCGAAUCGUAAUGCCGCCGCCUUACUACACAAUAACAGCAUACGCAAUUACCAGUUACUAGACCGCCAAGGCACCAGAGUAUUACACCACACCUUAUGAUGCUACAAGCUACUACACGAAGCCCUCAAAUUUAACUUUGCCCCGAGUUACAUCAAUAAGGAGUUCGAAUACUACACCACCCAGGUAUUGGAGUCCUACACGACUACGUAUGCCGCCCCAGCCUACUACACCGAGGCCUUAAGUACUACUCUGUGCCCAGCUACUACACCGAAGCUCCAGCUUAUUACGUCAACCAAGAGUACCACACCUAAACGCACAAAUACUACUUUGCCCCGAGCUACGCAACUACAACUGAGGCGGUCCACUAUUACGCAGCAAAUACUUACUACACAGCGGCUGCUCCUUCGUACUACGUUGAUCCGAAAUACUAUGACUCAAUUUUACUACACCACAACCUACGCCACUCCUAGCUACUACACCGAAGCCCCCAAGUACUACACCAAAAAGGCCGAAUAUUAUGCAACCGUGAAUGCUGCCUCAGUUUACUACACCGAGAAACACAAGUAUUAAGCUGCUCCAACCAAUACCAAACAGAGGUUCCGGUUUAUUUCACCACCAAGGUCACCGAAUAUCACACUACAACCAACGCUGUCCCCACUUUCUACACUAAAGUUCCAGAGUAUUACUCUGCCACGAGUUACCAAACACUAAGGCACCUGAAUGUUACACCAUGACCUACGCUUCUUCAUUUGUCUAAAGUGGGGCUUCUAAAUACUAGCCGAAAUUUCAAUUUUACUUAGUUGUGUUCAGAUAUGUACGUCGUAUGCAGUUACUAAUCACUGGUAUUGUUGUUUUUCAUUGAGAAAAUACAUUUUUAAAUGCGGGUUA